GUGGUUCAGUGGUAGAAUUCUCACUUUUCAUGCAGGAGACCUGGGUUCGAUUCCCAGC
rnacentral:tRNA from 1 species